AAGUAAAAGUCGUAACAAGGUUUCCGUAGGUGAACCUGCGGAAGGAUCAUUGAAUUAUCAAAACCACACUGUGAACCUGUUUGUCCCACGCUUUUGUGCGGCGCGGUGCUCUUGCACUGGCGGGCUGUGGGAUUGCCCUCUGUCGGGGGCUUUCCUGCAGUUAUCUGCGCAAUUGCGUGUUUUCCCACACCCAGUGUAACCACUGAGUUGUGCAAUCUGUUGAUUUGCACAGCCAAACCAAACUCUGAAGAAAGAUUGCCUACAAGGUGAUCAACAACGAAAACAACUCUCAACAACGGAUAUCUUGGCUCUCGCAACGAUGAAGAACGCAGCGAAAUGCGAUACGUAGUGUGAAUUGCAGAAUUCCGUGAACCAUCGAAUCUUUGAACGCAUAUUGCGCUCGAGUCUUCGGACAAGAGCAUGUCUGCCUCAGCGUCGGUUUACACCCUCACACCCCUAUCUUUUGCAUAGUGCCAAGCCCUAGUGGUUUGCGGGUGUGGAAUUGGCUUUCCCAACUGGCUCUUGUUGGUUGGGUUGGCUGAAGUUGAGAGGCUUAAGCAAGGACCCGUAUGGGCAUCAACUGGAUAGGUAGUGUCGGCCUCUCGGCUGUCUACACGAAGUUGUUGCUUGUGGACUUUGCUAGGGGCCAGCAGGAAACACGCCUAGCGUGACCUAAACUUUCGACCUGAGCUCAGGCAAGAUUACCCGCUGAACUUAAGCAUAUCAAUAAGCGGAGG
rnacentral:rRNA from 1 species